UACGGGGGGUGCGAGCGUUGUCCGGAAUUACUGGGCGUAAAGGGCUCGUAGGUGGCCAACUAAGUCGGACGUGAAAUCCCUCAGCUUAACUGGGGAACUGCGUCCGAUACUGGAUGGCUUGAGUUUGGGAGAGGGAUGCGGAAUUCCAGGUGUAGCGGUGAAAUGCGUAGAUAUCUGGAGGAACACCGGUGGCGAAGGCGGCAUCCUGGACCAACACUGACACUGAGGAGCGAAAGCCAGGGGAGCAAACGGG
rnacentral:rRNA from 1 species